UGGAUGCCACCAGCGCAGAGGUGACAGGAGAUUGUUGCAGGUGCCACGUGCGGUCAUGGGGACAGGGUGAGAUGUCCAUCUACUUCUUUGUCCCCAGAAAACUCCCACCUCCACUCAUGUAUCCUAGUCUCGCCUGUCAGAGUCUAAGAAGCCCCUGGGCUCCAAAUUUCUGACAGCAAAGGCAGUUGGCCAGAUCCCCCAACUUCCAGCUUGAAGAGCAACCAGGAGGUCUCUCUGCAACUUCCCAGAGCUCUGCAGAGCCACGUCAGCCCUCAGCACUUGGC
rnacentral:lncRNA from 1 species